AGCGAACGCUGGCGGCAGGCCUAACACAUGCAAGUCGAACGAACUCUUCGGAGUUAGUGGCGGACGGGUGAGUAACACGUGGGAACGUGCCUUUUGGUUCGGAAUAACUCAGGGAAACUUGUGCUAAUACCGAAUGUGCCCUUCGGGGGAAAGAUUUAUCGCCAUUAGAGCGGCCCGCGUCUGAUUAGCUAGUUGGUGAGGUAACGGCUCACCAAGGCGACGAUCAGUAGCUGGUCUGAGAGGAUGACCAGCCACACUGGGGCUGAGACACGGCCCAGACUCCUACGGGAGGCAGCAGUGGGGAAUCUUGCGCAAUGGGCGAAAGCCUGACGCAGCCAUGCCGCGUGAAUGAUGAAGGUCUUAGGAUUGUAAAAUUCUUUCACCGGGGACGAUAAUGACGGUACCCGGAGAAGAAGCCCCGGCUAACUUCGUG
rnacentral:rRNA from 1 species